UUGAUGUGGAGCGAAAUAAAGUAGUGAAGCGUGUGAGCCAUGUGCCGAGAAAAGCUGCUAUUGUGUAAUGCGUGCCCGUACCGUAAACCGACACAGGUGGAUGAGGAGAGAAUCCUAAGGCCGGCGGAAGAAGCAUUGUUAAGGAAUUCGGCAAAAUGACCCCGUAACUUCGGGAGAAGGGGUGCCUGCGAGAGCAGGCCGCAGAGAAUAGGCUCAAGCAACUGUUUAGCAAAAACACAGGUCUAUGCGAAACCGAAAGGUGAAGUAUAUGGGCUGACGCCUGCCCGGUGCUGGAAGGUUAAGAGGAGAGGUUAGCUUCGGCGAAGCUUUGAAUUUAAGCCCCAGUAAACGGCGGCCGUACAAUAACGGUCCUAAGGUAGCGAAAUUCCUUGUCGGGUAAGUUCCGACCCGCACGAAAGGCGUAAUGAUUUGAGCACUGUCUCGACAAUGCAUCCGGUGAAAUUGAAGUACCAGUGAAGAUGCUGGUUACCCGCGCCAGGACGGAAAGACCCCAUGGAGCUUUACUCCAGUUUGAUACUGGGAUUCGGUACUGCAUGUACAGGAUAGGUGGGAGACGAAGAAGGAUGGACGCCAGUCUGUCCGGAGUCGCUGUUGGGAUACCACCCCUGUAGUACUGGGUUUCUAACCAGUUGCCAUGAACUGGCAAUGGGACAAUGUCAGGCGGGGAGUUUGACUGGGGCGGUCGCCUCCGAAAGGGUAUCGGAGGCGCUCAAAGGUUCCCUCAGAAUGGUUGGAAACCAUUUGAAGAGUGCAAAGGCAGAAGGGAGCUUGACUGCGACACCGACGGGUGGAGCAGGUACGAAAGUAGGACUUAGUGAUCCGGUGGUAUAAAGUGGGAUUGCCAUCGCUCAACGGAUAAAAGCUACCCUGGGAUAACAGGCUUAUCACUCCCAAGAGUUCACAUCGACGGAGUGGUUUGGCACCUCGAUGUCGGCUCAUCGCAUCCUGGGGCUGUAGCAGGUCCCAAGGGUUGGGCUGUUCGCCCAUUAAAGCGGUACGCGAGCUGGGUUCAGAACGUCGUGAGACAGUUCGGUCCCUAUCCGGCGCGGGCGGAGGAUAUUUGAGAGGAGCUGUCCUUAGUACGAGAGGACCGGGAUGGACGGACCACUGGUGUAUCUGUUGUCGACCAACGGCAUGGCAGAGUAGCCAAGUCUGAAAGGGAUAAACGCUGAAGGCAUCUAAGCGUGAAGCCCCCCUCAAGAUGAGAUAUCCCUCCUUCGGGAGUAAGACCCCUUGAAGACUACAAGGUAGAUAGGGCAGAGGUGGAAGCAUGGCAACAUGUGGAGCUGACUGUUACUAAUAGGUCGAGGGCUUAACGAA
rnacentral:rRNA from 1 species